GUGGAGGUAUAUACGGUUGUGGUGACAUCAGGAGCGCUGGGGGAGGGGACAUUACUAUUAACCCCUUCAGGUCCACAAGGUUUUAUGACAAUGAAGAAGAUCACAGGAUCCAGAACUUUCUGUGUUUCUCCAAUCCAGGAUCCUCUGCUGAUACCUUCUAUAUAAGAGAAUUCUCCUGGAUGACCCAUCAACCAUGGAGAGAGACAGGAACAAGAUGGCCAACAGGAUCAUAAACCUCACCCUACAGAUACUCUUCCGGCUUACUGGAGAGGAUUACACAGUAGUGAAGAAGUCCUCUAGUGGGCACUGUCGGGCCCCUGUGUGUGAAGGAUGGGGAAGAACCCUGAGCCCAAUCCCGGGGCCCCCACCUCACUCCCUG